GAUGAACGCUAGCUACAGGCUUAACACAUGCAAGUCGAGGGGCAGCAUGAUUGAAGCUUGCUUCAAUCGAUGGCGACCGGCGCACGGGUGAGUAACACGUAUCCAACCUGCCGAUAACUCGGGGACAGCCUUUCGAAAGAAAGAUUAAUACCCGAUAGUAUAGUAUUUCCGCAUGGUUUCACUAUUAAAGAACUUCGGUUAUCGAUGGGGAUGCGUUCCAUUAGAUAGUUGGCGGGGUAACGGCCCACCAAGUCAACGAUGGAUAGGGGUUCUGAGAGGAAGGUCCCCCACAUUGGAACUGAGACACGGUCCAAACACCUACGGGAGGCAGCAGUGAGGAAUAUUGGUCAAUGGACGAGAGUCUGAACCAGCCAAGUAGCGUGAAGGAGGACUGCCCUAUGGGUUGUAAACUUCUUUUAUACGGGAAUAAAGUGGAGUAUGCAUACUCCUUUGUAGGUACCGGAUGAAUAAGGAUCGGCUAACUCCGUG
rnacentral:rRNA from 1 species